GGCCUGGAGGAAGUCACUUGGGAGAAUCAAGGAACCAAGCUCUGGGAAACCUGGUAUUUAAAAGCCAAGAAGAUAAGAGGUGGAGGGACACAGGAUCGGAACAGAAUGUGUCCUGAAAGACUGAAAAGUCCUUGAGCACAAGUAACACAUCUAAAUUAAAUGCAUUUGAAGAGCCUGGCACACUGUCAUCUCUCUAUGGAAAUCUCGACAUCUCUAAGGAUGGAGAUCUGGGCCGUGACCCUGUUUGCCCUUGCAGAAUCUGGGGUGGCCUGGAGUGAGAAGAUCAAGGCUCCGCCGCUGACCCCCUCUGCCACUCACAGGAUGUGAUUUGACUCUUCCCAUAAUAAAAAAAAAAAAAAAGGAAAGAAAGAAAGAACAAAGGAAGAAAGAAAGAAAGGCAUAUAUGAGUCUAUGAGAAGAGGCUGGAUGAGAGGUGGUCUCAACACUUUUGGUGUUAAGCUCAUGGGCCUGGAGGAAGUCACUUGGGAGAAUCAAGGAACCAAGCUCUGGGAAACCUGGUAUUUAAAAGCCAAGAAGAUAAGAGGUGGAGGGACACAGGAUCGGAACAGAAUGUGUCCUGAAAGGUGAGAAAGGAGUUUUCA